rnacentral:rRNA from 1 species
UACAGAGGGUGCGAGCGUUAAUCGGAAUUACUGGGCGUAAAGGGCGCGUAGGCGGCCCGAUAAGUCGGAUGUGAAAGCCCUGGGCUCAACCUGGGAACUGCAUACGAUACUGUCAGGCUAGAGUAUGGUAGAGGUAAGCGGAAUUCCGGGUGUAGCGGUGAAAUGCGUAGAUAUCCGGAGGAACAUCAGUGGCGAAGGCGGCUUACUGGACCAAUACUGACGCUGAGGCGCGAAAGCGUGGGGAGCAAACAGGAUUAGAUACCCUGGUAGUCCACGCCCUAAACGAUGAGAACUAGCCGUUGGGAGCAUUUAAGCUCUUAGUGGCGCAGCUAACGCGUUAAGUUCUCCGCCUGG